rnacentral:rRNA from 1 species
UACGUAGGGUGCGAGCGUUGUCCGGAAUUAUUGGGCGUAAAGAGCUUGUAGGUGGUUUGGUAGGUCCGUUGUGAAAACUCGAGGCUCAACCUCGAGACGCCGAUGGAAACCAUCAGACUAGAGUACGGAAGAGGAGAGUGGAAUUCCUGGUGUAGCGGUGAAAUGCGCAGAUAUCAGGAAGAACACCCGUGGCUAAGGCGGCUCUCUAGUACGGUACUGACGCUGAGACGCGAAAGCGUGGGGAGCGAACAGG